UACGUAGGGGCCUAGCGUUGUCCGGAAUUAUUGGGCGUAAAGAGCUCGUAGGCGGUCUGUUGCGUCCGCUGUGAAAACCCGGGGCUUAACCCCUGGCUUGCAGUGGAUACGGACAGACUAGAGGUAGGUAGGGGAGAAUGGAAUUCCCGGUGUAGCGGUGAAAUGCGCAGAUAUCAGGAGGAACACCGGUGGCGAAGGCGGGUCUCUGGGCCGAUACUGACGCUGAGGAGCGAAAGCGUGGGGAGCGAACAGG
rnacentral:rRNA from 1 species